GCUCUGCAGUCUUGGAACCGCGCUAGGUUGGUGGUACCUAGAGCCCACCAGACUUGCAGAAAAAGCAUACUCCGGAGGAAGCUGAGGCAUGCCUGCUCCAGAGCCAGCGGUUCCAUGUGCAAUUUUCCUCUGAUAGUUCCUGAAUACUGUUGCCACGGUGAUAGUGACUGGCCAUGUCAUUAUCUAUCCACCAACAGUAAGAGAAGCUUUGCAGUCGAGAUAUUGUUUGGCAGACAGAGUGGUUUCUGUUGGACACUAAGUACUGCUACAAAU
rnacentral:snoRNA from 1 species